rnacentral:misc_RNA from 1 species
GAAAUGCGAUAUGUAAUGUGAAUUGCAGAAUUCAGUGAAUCAUCGAAUCUUUGAACGCACAUUGCGCUCCUUGGUAUUCCGGGGAGCACACCUGUUUGAGUAUCAAUAAUCUCUCACAUCUUAUUUUUGGGUUUAACAGCUCGCUGAUAAGAUUGUGGAUUUGGAUAAUCUGUUCUUUACAGAACCGUUAUCUUAAUUUUAAUGUCAAAAGCUCCUUCUGAAAAGAGACAGAUGCUUGAGAUGAUAGAAUAAGUUUUAACUACUUUUUUGCUCUCUUGCGACAACUCUGUCUCAUACAAAUUUUCAUUUGAGCGUCUUUGAUACCUUUAAUUAUUACCUACGAUUGUUACAGUUGUAACAGUUGUUUGAAUACUUGGUCUCAAAUCAGGUGGGAAAACCC